UUUUAAAUGGCCGCAGUAUUUUGACUGUGCAAAGGUAGCAUAAUCAUUAGUUUUUUAAUUAAAAGCUUGUAUGAAAGGCUGGACGAGGUAAAAUCUGUCUCUAUUUAAAUUAAAAUAGAAUUUAACUUUUAAGUUAAAAGGCUUAAAUAUUAUUAAAAGACGAGAAGACCCUAUAGAUCUUUAUAAUUUAUUAAAUUAAAUUAAUUUAGAAAUAUUAAUGUUUUAUUUGAUUAAAUUAUUUUAUUGGGGUAAUAAAAAGAUUGAAUUAAUUCUUUUUUAUAAUAAACAUUAAUUUAUGAAUAUUGAUGAUCCAGUUUUACUGAUUAUAAGAUUAAGUUACCUUAGGGAUAACAGCGUAAUUUUUUUAGAGAGUUCAUAUCGAUAAAAAAGUUUGCGACCUCGAUGUUGGAUUAAAGAUUAUUUUAGGUGUAGAAGCUUAAUAAUUUUGGUCUGUUCGACCAUUAAAUCUUUACAUGAUCUGAGUUCAGACCGGCGUAAGCCAGGUCGGUUUCUAUCUUUAAUAAAAUAAAAUAUUUUAGUACGAAAGGACCAAAUAUUUGAUAUAUUUAUAUUUAAUUUAUUGAAUAUUA
rnacentral:rRNA from 2 species